rnacentral:rRNA from 1 species
CAUGCAAGUCGAACGAUGAAGCCCAGCUUGCUGGGUGGAUUAGUGGCGAACGGGUGAGUAACACGUGAGUAACCUGCCCCUGACUCUGGGAUAAGCGUUGGAAACGACGUCUAAUACUGGAUAUGACUACUGGUCGCAUGGCCUGGUGGUGGAAAGAUUUUUUGGUUGGGGAUGGACUCGCGGCCUAUCAGCUUGUUGGUGAGGUAAUGGCUCACCAAGGCGACGACGGGUAGCCGGCCUGAGAGGGUGACCGGCCACACUGGGACUGAGACACGGCCCAGACUCCUACGGGAGGCAGCAGUGGGGAAUAUUGCACAAUGGGCGAAAGCCUGAUGCAGCAACGCCGCGUGAGGGAUGACGGCCUUCGGGUUGUAAACCUCUUUUAGUAGGGAAGAAGCGAAAGUGACGGUACCUGCAGAAAAAGCACCGGCUAACUACGUGCCAGCAGCCGCGGUAAUACGUAGGGUGCAAGCGUUGUCCGGAAUUAUUGGGCGUAAAGAGCUCGUAGGCGGUUUGUCGCGUCUGCUGUGAAAUCCCGAGGCUCAACCUCGGGCUUGCAGUGGGUACGGGCAGACUAGAGUGCGGUAGGGGAGAUUGGAAUUCCUGGUGUAGCGGUGGAAUGCGCAGAUAUCAGGAGGAACACCGAUGGCGAAGGCAGAUCUCUGGGCCGUAACUGACGCUGAGGAGCGAAAGCGUGGGGAGCGAACAGGAUUAGAUACCCUGGUAGUCCACGCCGUAACGUUGGGCGCUAGAUGUAGGGACCUUUCCACGGUUUCUGUGUCGUAGCUAACGCAUUAAGCGCCCCGCCUGGGGAGUACGGCCGCAAGGCUAAAACUCAAGGAAUUGACGGGGGCCCGCACAAGCGGCGGAGCAUGCGGAUUAAUUUCGAUGCAACGCGAAGAACCUUACCAAGGCUUGACAUACACCGG